CACGGUCAGGAAUAAAGGCGCCCAAGAGAGCAAGGAGAAGGAAAAAUAAUCAGAAUUAGCCAGCAGGCGGGCAGCGGGAAAAGGGAAAAUGCAGCCCCACCAGGGUCGGAGCCUCCGCCGGACCAGCUGAGGAGGUGGCCAAGGAGUGGGCAGGCCUGGGCAAGUGCAUGAAGGAACUUGAGCCGGCUGGAGCCCAGCAAGCAGACAGAAGGGAAGACAAUAAAAGAAGCCAUCAUCAGGACUAAUGCCAAGAAAAUUGAAUGAGCCUGAAUAUUAAAACAAGGUGAGUGAAUGUAUGCCCAUAACUGGACAUCAGAGGCCUACGACUGUGCACCACGCUAUGAGCUAAGCAUAGCA
rnacentral:lncRNA from 1 species